rnacentral:rRNA from 4 species
CCUGGCGGCUUUAGCGCGGUGGUCCCACCUGACCCCAUGCCGAACUCAGAAGUGAAACGCCGUAGCGCCGAUGGUAGUGUGGGGUCUCCCCAUGU